AUUGAACGCUGGCGGCAGGCCUAACACAUGCAAGUCGAACGAGUGGCGGACGGGUGAGUAAUGUCUGGGAAACUGCCUGAUAGAGGGGGAUAACUACUGGAAACGGUAGCUAAUACCGCAUACCAUCGGAUGUGCCCAGAUGGGAUUAGCUAGUAGGUGGGGUAACGGCUCACCUAGGCGACGAUCCCUAGCUGGUCUGAGAGGAUGAACAGCCACAUUGGAACUGAGACACGGUCCAGACUCCUACGGGAGGCAGCAGUGGGGAAUAUUGCACAAUGGGCGCAAGCCGGAUGCAGCCAUGCCGCGUGUAUGAAGAAGGCCUUAGGGUUGUAAAGUACUUUCAGCGGGGAGGCGUUACCCGCAGAAGAAGCACCGGCUAACUCCGUGCCAGCAGCCGCGGUAAUAC
rnacentral:rRNA from 1 species